rnacentral:sRNA from 1 species
ACCCCCGCUCCGCGGAAUGCCCGGCUGCACUCUUGUGUUCGCCCGAUACCCUGAUCAGGUGCGCCGUCCUCAGUGCAGUGACCGGACAGCGCAUAGCCGACAGCCGUCGCACUUUAGGGAGAACCCUUCAUG